GUGACAGAAGAGAAUGAGCACACAUGGUGUUUUCUUACAUGAGAUAUAUAUAUUCAUGCUUGAAACUAUGCGUGCUCACUCUCUAUCUGUCAC
rnacentral:pre_miRNA from 1 species